GCACUCCUACUCCUUACGGGAGGCAGCAGUGGGGAAUAUUGCACAAUGGGCGCAAGCCUGAUGCAGCGACGCCGCGUGAGGGAUGACGGCCUUCGGGUUGUAAACCUCUUUCAGUAGGGAAGAAGCGUAAGUGACGGUACCUGCAGAAGAAGCGCCGGCUAACUACGUGCCAGCAGCCGCGGUAAUACGUAGGGCGCAAGCGUUAUCCGGAAUUAUUGGGCGUAAAGAGCUCGUAGGCGGUUUGUCGCGUCUGCCGUGAAAGUCCGGGGCUCAACUCCGGAUCUGCGGUGGGUACGGGCAGACUAGAGUGAUGUAGGGGAGACUGGAAUUCCUGGUGUAGCGGUGAAAUGCGCAGAUAUCAGGAGGAACACCGAUGGCGAAGGCAGGUCUCUGGGCAUUAACUGACGCUGAGGAGCGAAAGCAUGGGGAGCGAACAGGAUUAGAUACCCUGGUAGUCCAUGCCGUAAACGUUGGGCACUAGGUGUGGGGGACAUUCCACGUUUUCCGCGCCGUAGCUAACGCAUUAAGUGCCCCGCCUGGGGAGUACGGCCGCAAGGCUAAAACUCAAAGGAAUUGACGGGGGCCCGCACAAGCGGCGGAGCAUGCGGAUUAAUUCGAUGCAACGCGAAGAACCUUACCAAGGCUUGACAUGAACCGGAAAGACCUGAAACCAGGCCCCCG
rnacentral:rRNA from 1 species